UACGAAGGGGGCUAGCGUUGCUCGGAAUUACUGGGCGUAAAGCGCACGUAGGCGGCUUCUUAAGUCGGUGGUGAAAUCCUGGAGCUCAACUCCAGAACUGCCUUCGAUACUGGGAGUCUCGAGUUCGGGAGAGGUGAGUGGAACUGCGAGUGUAGAGGUGAAAUUCGUAGAUAUUCGCAAGAACACCAGUGGCGAAGGCGGCUCACUGGCCCGAUACUGACGCUGAUGCACGAAAGCGUGGGGAGCAAACAGG
rnacentral:rRNA from 1 species